rnacentral:rRNA from 1 species
GACGAACGCUGGCGGCGUGCUAAACACAUGCAAGUCGAACGGAAAGGCCCUGCUUUUGUGGGUUGCUCGAGUGGCGAACGGGUGAGUAACACGUGAGUAACCUGCCCUUGACUUUGGGAUAACUUCAGGAAACUGGGGCUAAUACCGGAUAGGAGCUCCUGCUGCAUGGGGGGGGUUGGAAAGUUUCGGCGGUUGGGGAUGGACUCGCGGCUUAUCAGCUUGUUGGUGGGGUAGUGGCUUACCAAGGCUUUGACGGGUAGCCGGCCUGAGAGGGUGACCGGCCACAUUGGGACUGAGAUACGGCCCAGACUCCUACGGGAGGCAGCAGUGGGGAAUAUUGCACAAUGGGCGGAAGCCUGAUGCAGCAACGCCGCGUGCGGGAUGACGGCCUUCGGGUUGUAAACCGCUUUCGCCUGUGACGAAGCGUGAGUGACGGUAAUGGGUAAAGAAGCACCGGCUAACUACGUG